CAAAGGUGAGCUCAUAUACCUGUGUGUAUACACCACAUCUAGAAGAAGAGAAAGGCACAAAGGCAGUCAGGUGUUGGCGAGCGUUGUGACUAGAACAUUUGUUAGAAGGGAAGAUUUUUCUUCUUAUAGUUUGGUGCUUUUUUAAUCCCACGAUAAUGGAUUACCUGAAUAAUUUUGUACUUCUGAUGCUUCUUAUGGUUGGUACAGUGCUUGCUGGAGACAUGUUGCGCAAGUCAAUCGUUUAUGACAAAAACACGCCGGACGUAUUUUAUUGUCCCCAAGAAAAACCUACCGGCUUUGACAAUAUGAUCGUUAAAGCACGGUCGUUAAAGAAACUGUGCGAAUUCGAAGGGCAACAGCUUCCCAAACACUACAAAAGCGACUGUUACAAUGACGUCGAUGAAACUGAAUUCGCAUGCAAGGAGAAGCACCGUAUCAUGAGAUUAAAAGAAGCUAACGAGUCCGACAAUUCGAUUGCGGAUGCGUACGAAUUAUAACUCCGUCGCGGACGGGGAAAACAUCGCCAUGUAAUCUACAAACAACUAAUUAUCCUAAUAUUAACUGGAAACGUCUCAACCCUCCUGGCAGUGAAAAUAAUAUCGACUUUCAUCUGGAAGCUCGCAAGAUUAAAAAACUAAAGGAUUUCUAAGUUUUUCAUCAUGGUUACAAAAAAAAAAGGAACAAGUUCUCAUUAUUAAUGGAAGUUACCCGUCAGAUCGGCAGGGUCGAUCAGGGUCGAUCGAUCCAAGCGAAGACUAAAAUGUUGACUCGCAUCGUGGCCCAUAACGUUGAUUAUUUUUCGCUUUGCUGUCUAAACAAACAGUGCAAUAAAACUUCUAAUUUACAUCGCCAAUUGAAAAGCCUUUCCUAUACUAUUGCCAAACCCGUGUUAAAUACUAAAAUGAAAAAUAACGUGAUUAAUUCGAAAACUGCUGUGUGUGGUGGAUUUAUACACGUCAUCAAUCGAUUUAA